rnacentral:rRNA from 1 species
UGGGGAAUAUUGGACAAUGGGGGGAACCCUGAUCCAGCCAUGCCGCGUGUGUGAAGAAGGCCUUAUGGUUGUAAAGCACUUUAAGCGAGGAGGAGGGUACUGGUAUUAAUACUACCAGCUACUGGACGUUACUCGCAGAAUAAGCACCGGCUAACUCUGUGCCAGCAGCCGCGGUAAUACAGAGGGUGCGAGCGUUAAUCGGAUUUACUGGGCGUAGCGUGCGUAGGCGGCUAAUUGAGUCGGAUGUGAAAUCCCCGAGCUUAACUUGGGAAUUGCAUUCGAUACUGGUUAGCUAGAGUGUGGGAGAGGAUGGUAGAAUUCCAGGUGUAGCGGUGAAAUGCGUAGAGCUCUGGCGGAAUACCGAUGGCGCAGGCCGCCAUCUGGCCUAACACUGACGCUGAGGUACGAAAGCAUGGGGAGCAAACAGG